rnacentral:rRNA from 1 species
AACGAACGCUGGCGGCAUGCCUAACACAUGCAAGUCGAACGAGAUCUUCGGGUCUAGUGGCGCACGGGUGCGUAACGCGUGGGAAUCUGCCCUUUGGUUCGGAAUAACAGUUGGAAACGACUGCUAAUACCGGAUGAUGACGAAAGUCCAAAGAUUUAUCGCCAGAGGAUGAGCCCGCGUAGGAUUAGCUAGUUGGUGUGGUAAAGGCGCACCAAGGCGACGAUCCUUAGCUGGUCUGAGAGGAUGAUCAGCCACACUGGGACUGAGACACGGCCCAGACUCCUACGGGAGGCAGCAGUGGGGAAUAUUGGACAAUGGGCGAAAGCCUGAUCCAGCAAUGCCGCGUGAGUGAUGAAGGCCUUAGGGUUGUAAAGCUCUUUUACCCGGGAUGAUAAUGACAGUACCGGGAGAAUAAGCUCCGGCUAACUCCGUGCCAGCCGCCGCCGCAG